UACGUAGGCGGAAAAUUAAGUCAGUAGUGAAAUCCUGCAGCUUAACUGUAGAACUGUUAUUGAUACUGGUUUUCUUGAAUAUAGUUGAGGUAGGCGGAAUGUGUAAUGUAGCGGUGAAAUGCUUAGAUAUUACACAGAACACCGAUUGCGAAGGCAGCUUACUAAGCUAUGAUUGACGCUGAGGUACGAAAGCGUGGGGAGCAAACAGGAUUAGAUACCCUGGUAGUCC
rnacentral:rRNA from 1 species